rnacentral:rRNA from 1 species
AGCGAACGCUGGCGGCAGGCCUAACACAUGCAAGUCGAACGGUAACAGGUUAAGCUGACGAGUGGCGAACGGGUGAGUAAUGCAUCGGAACGUGCCCGAUCGUGGGGGAUAACGCAGCGAAAGCUGCGCUAAUACCGCAUACGAUCUGAGGAUGAAAGCGGGGGACCGUAAGGCCUCGCGCGAUCGGAGCGGCCGAUGUCAGAUUAGGCAGUUGGUGGGGUAAAGGCUCACCAAGCCAACGAUCUGUAGCUGGUCUGAGAGGGCGACCAGCCACACUGGGACUGAGACACGGCCCAGACUCCUACGGGAGGCAGCAGUGGGGAAUUUUGGACAAUGGGCGAAAGCCUGAUCCAGCAAUGCCGCGUGCAGGAAGAAGGCCUUCGGGUUGUAAACUGCUUUUGUACGGAGCGAAAAGGCUCUCUCUAAUACAGGGGGCUCAUGACGGUACCGUAAGAAUAAGCACCGGCUAACUACGUGCCAGCCGCCGCGGUAAGAC